UGCAUAUAUCCUUCUUCUCCUUCUUCUUUUCUUUUUCUCUUUUUCUUUCAGUUUUUGCGCAAGACUCCUUUCAGUCUGCAAAAAUUUUUGCAUUUUUUUUCCUUUCAGUUUCGCAAUUUUUUUUCUUUCUUCCUCAGUUCAUGCGAUUUUUAUUUUGCUUUCAUUUAUGCUUUCAAUAACACACACGGCCACCAAUCUUCUUCUUUUUGUUUUGCUCUACUCAAAAUGAUGAACUAUGUUGGAUGAGUUUUUCUUUCCAUGACCCCAUUGAUGUGAUGACUCUUUAAACUUUUGUUGAAUCAAUUGUAGUGAGUUAUAUUCAUGUUUGAG
rnacentral:lncRNA from 1 species